GGCGGGGGGCGGGGGGCAGGUGGGGCUUCAUCUGAGUGACAUGGGACGCUGUUGGAGGUCAACCAGAAUGGCGUGGUCUGGCUCCCAUCCUGAAGGACUGGCCUGGUGGCUCUGUGAAGUGCUUAGAGGGUAAAGUGAAGGAACCAGCUGUCACUCAUCUAAGCAAGAGACACCUCGGCUCAGACCACAAAGGGGGAGGCGGGGUAGUGAGAAGUAGCAGCUUCCGAUUCUGUAUUUUGAAGACAGAAUCCCCAGAAUUUGCUGAGCGAUGGGGCAUAGAGUCUGAGAGAAAGAAACGGGUGACAUAUGGCUGUGACAGUUUGGGCCCAAGCAAGUGGAAUGAUCCUAUUUCCUAGCAGGGGAGAGGCUGGGGGGACAGGGAGUCUCCUUUUGGCUGCAGUAAGUCCGAGAUUCCUGUGGGACACCGGAGGGAAAAUACCAGAGCCACGGGGAGACAUCCUCCCGUCGGGCAUUUCAGGCUGGAAGCGGAAGAGAUCCGGGCAUGAGUGUAGACAGUAAAGAGGUCGGGGUUGCUCCCCCAUGACCCUCUGCCAGUUAGAAGUUAGGGACAUGAGCCUCCAUGAACGAUGAAGAACUGAGAGAAAGAGGAUCUGGCGGCCAGGAGACAGAAGGGCGUCAAGGAAGGUGCACUGUAAGCGACAGGACUGGGAGGUGACCAUGGGGUUCGGCCACCGCAGCCCAUAGCAGCGGCCUCCUGGGGAGGGCUCAUGGGAGACAGGGUUGUGGCCGUGGCUCAUGCUGCACAGCUAGAUCCAGGAGCUCCACACUGAACAGGGGGCAGAGACGGGUGGUGGGGAGAGCAAUGUGGGUCAGGACAGGUUGGAUUUUUUUUUUAAUGUUUGUUUGUUUAUUUAUUGAGAGGGGGGAGGGGCAGAGAGAGGGAGAGAGGAUCCCAAGCAGGCUCCGUGCUGGCAGCGCAGGAGAGGCGGGUGUUUAAGGAGCAGGAUGUUCCAGCAAGAUGGAGUGCUUAAUCCCUGGUGCGGAAGAGAGAAGGAAAACGGUGGGAGCGGAUCGCUGAAGCAGGGAAGAGGGGCGAGGUGUGUCAGCCGAGCGCUCAGCCUACGUGGGCUGGGGGACGGUCCCUUGUGGGACGGGGAGCGGGGUGCAUGGAGAAAGGGGCAGGGAGCUGGGGGUGGGUGGCGGGUCUGGUUUCUUCAGGAACAGGACGCGGUGGCGCCCCGGAUGUAGGAGGAGUCGGGGGCGUUGAGAACAGAGGGGCCGCAGGGGACAUCCCGCUAAUGAUGGAAAUGCCGGCUGCCUCCGGGGCUGCAAGGCCCGUGCGCACGUCAUGUCACACACUGCGGUGUCGCGAGGGACACACGCUCAGACGCACCGUUGCUGGAGCCAAGCCCGCGUGCACCGUCCCCGCAGUAGGCCGGCAGUCUGUCCCUAGAUGGAUGGCGGGGACUCCCGCCAACCGAGGGCCCGUCCCGUUGGGCUCACCGACAGAGUGAGUAGCUUUUCCAGCCUCUUGAUGUUUGCUAAUCUGUUAGGUGGAAGCAGCGCCUCGUACGUUCAGCGGUUCGUUGUCUCGUUCGCGCAUUGGUAUUUCUUGUCAGUUACCUUCCGGUGAACCAUCUGUCUGUGCGUUCGGCCCUUUCUCUGCUGGCCGUAGGCUUUCUCUUAUCUGCGGACAGGGGCUCUUUGUAUACUGACAAAAUUAGCCCCUCGUCGGGGCGGUGGGUUGGAAGUAUUUCUUCCCACUCUGUUUGUCUCUUGCCUUCCCUUAUCUUGCUUUUUUUUUUUUUUUCCAUGCAGGAUUUUCCCCCUUUCCUGUGGUUUGUUUUAUUGAUUUAUUUUUAUGGCUGCUGAGGUUUUCUGUCACGUACAGAGAAGUGCGGUGGGCAGGGCAUGGGCUCUGGACUCAGACCUACCCUUGCCACUCCCGGGCGGUGCACGUUGCAUAACCACUUGGUCAAUGCGGGGUAAGAAUGCCUGGGGGGUGGGGAGGUGUAUAAGCACCUGCCUGUGGCCCUCAGGCACCGGGCUUCUUCCCCCGGGCUCUGCCUGGGCAGUUUGGGGCAGGCCAUGUGCACCUGUAAAGCUUGAGACCUGCGGGUCUGGCCCUUCCUCUGAUCCUUCCCCUGGAAAGUAUUUUGGGAACCAGAGACACAACGAGCUGUACAUUUGGCUCUGUCUUUCGGGCCAUCGAAGAUGCAGGCAUCGUGCCUGCCUGUCACGCACCAGAACGUGUGUGUGGCCGUGGAGGACGCCCUCCGGGGACAGCCCGUGCCCCGGGAUCACCAGGAAGGAGAGCGUGGCCGCUUCCCGCGGAGCUGGCCGCUGAGGCGACCCGCCGGCGGUGUGGGCUGAAAGCCUGUCUGAGUCCCAGUGACGCGGGGAAUGUGGGGGAGGGGAUGCCCACACACGUCCCCUUUCCAUCUUACCAACGUGACAUCCGCACCCAAGCGUCCCUGAAGAGAGGUUAUGCUGUAUGGGAUGCAAACCUGUUACAGCCUGAACCCCCUUGCCCCUUGGCCAACCUCUUUGCUGUGGUCAGGUAGCCCUGGCCCUCAUGACCAGCAGCCUCCCAGAGGACCUACGGGACCAUGGCAUUUAUUCCCAAGCCCGUUCUGAAUAUCUGUGGGAAUGGGACGUUCCGAUGAGGUAAGACCCCCCCCCCCAUGUGGGUGGGCAUCCUCCUGACUCCACACGGUGUUUGUGGGGUGCGAGGGCCGUUUUCAGAGGCUCAACUCAAGCAGAGGCAUCGGAUAUUCUUGUCCCUCUGGGGAUUCGGACGAGUGUCUCUGAUGGGAUUGGAGUGCAUAAAUCUUCUCCCAUAGGAAAAGAACUUUGCCCUUUGUAAUUGAAGAAAGCCUGCUUAAGCUUACUAAUGACUGGGAUUAUCAAGGUCCAUUGGUAAUUUUUCAAGUUACCUGAGCAAGAAAAAAACAGUGAUUACAGAAGCCCGGACCCAGCAUCAUCAAGCGCACGUGGGUCAUUUACUUUGACAGGCGUAAUUCAGUCCUUUUUAUUCCUGGUCACACUCCCACGGCGCUGUAACCAGAUACCCCCGGGCUAGGAGGUGGGCUGCUCGUUCAGCGAAGGAAAGGUUGUCGGCUUGACAGAAAUGGUCAGAUUUCUGAUUCAGAGAAUUACCAAGAUCUGAUGGAAAAGAGGCCACUUUCCUUUCGGUUUAUUUUUCCUCAA